GGAGGCCUUAGCUUAAUUAAAGUGUCUGGUUUGCAGUCAGCUGAUGUAGAUAAGAGUUUUACAGGUCUU
rnacentral:tRNA from 1 species